AUUGAACGCUGGCGGCAUGCCUUACACAUGCAAGUCGAACGGCAGCACGGGAGCAAUCCUGGUGGCGAGUGGCGAACGGGUGAGUAAUAUAUCGGAACAUGCCCAGUCGUGGGGGAUAACGUAGCGAAAGCUACGCUAAUACCGCAUACGAUCUACGGAUGAAAGCGGGGGAUCGCAAGACCUCGCGCGAUUGGAGUGGCCGAUAUCAGAUUAGCUAGUUGGUGAGGUAAAGGCUCACCAAGGCGACGAUCUGUAGCUGGUCUGAGAGGACGCCAAGCCACACGGGAACUGAAACCCGGUCCAGACUCCUACGGGGGGCAGCAGUGGGGAAUGUUGGACAAUGGGCGCAAGCCUGAUCCAGCAAUGCCGCGUGCAGGAUGAAGGCCUUCGGGUUGUAAACUGCUUUUGUACAGAACGAGACGGCUCUUUCUAAUACAAGGGGCUAAUGACGGUACUGUAAGAAUAAGCACCGGCUAACUACGUGCCAGCAGCCGCCGCCG
rnacentral:rRNA from 1 species